CCUGCCGGACCCGACUGCUAUCGGAUUGGGAUUUAGCCAUGUUAGUUGAGCGUUCCUUGGCUACAGGGGACGCAGCGCACGGCUCAGUGACACGUAGUCAACCUGCCCUGAAGACGUGGACAAACCCGGGAAACUGGGGCUGAUCCACGAUAGAUGACUUCAUCUGGAAGGAGAGGUCGUCCAAAAGGCGGCGCGAGUAUGCUUCGCGUCUUCCGCUUCAGGAUGGGACUGCGGCCGAUCAGGCUGUUGGCGGGGUAAUGGCCCACCAAACCUGUAACCGGUACGGGCUUUGAGAGAAGGAGCCCGGAGAUGGACACUGAGACAAGGGUCCAGGCCCUACGGGGCGCAUCAGGCGCGAAAACUUCGCAAUGCGCGAAAGCGUGACGAGGCUAGUCCGAGUGCCUCCCGCUGAGGGGGGCUUUUCUCGGCUGUAAAUAAGCCGGGGAAUAAGGGGAGGGCAAGUCUGGUGU
rnacentral:rRNA from 1 species